rnacentral:rRNA from 1 species
UAGAGCACUGUUUCGGCAAGGGGGUCAUCCCGACUUACCAACCCGAUGCAAACUGCGAAUACCGGAGAAUGUUAUCACGGGAGACACACGGCGGGUGCUAACGUCCGUCGUGAAGAGGGAAACAACCCAGACCGCCAGCUAAGGUCCCAAAGUCAUGGUUAAGUGGGAAACGAUGUGGGAAGGCCCAGACAGCCAGGAUGUUGGCUUAGAAGCAGCCAUCAUUUAAAGAAAGCGUAAUAGCUCACUGGUCGAGUCGGCCUGCGCGGAAGAUGUAACGGGGCUAAACCAUGCACCGAAGCUGCGGCAGCGACACUGUGUGUUGUUGGGUAGGGGAGCGUUCUGUAAGCCUGUGAAGGUGUACUGUGAGGUAUGCUGGAGGUAUCAGAAGUGCGAAUGCUGACAUAAGUAACGAUAAAGCGGGUGAAAAGCCCGCUCGCCGGAAGACCAAGGGUUCCUGUCCAACGUUAAUCGGGGCAGGGUGAGUCGACCCCUAAGGCGAGGCCGAAAGGCGUAGUCGAUGGGAAACAGGUUAAUAUUCCUGUACUUGGUGUUACUGCGAAGGGGGGACGGAGAAGGCUAUGUUGGCCGGGCGACGGUUGUCCCGGUUUAAGCGUGUAGGCUGGUUUUCCAGGCAAAUCCGGAAAAUCAAGGCUGAGGCGUGAUGACGAGGCACUACGGUGCUGAAGCAACAAAUGCCCUGCUUCCAGGAAAAGCCUCUAAGCAUCAGGUAACAUCAAAUCGUACCCCAAACCGACACAGGUGGUCAGGUAGAGAAUACCAAGGCGCUUGAGAGAACUCGGGUGAAGGAACUAGGCAAAAUGGUGCCGUAACUUCGGGAGAAGGCACGCUGAUAUGUAGGUGAAGUCCCUCGCGGAUGGAGCUGAAAUCAGUCGAAGAUACCAGCUGGCUGCAACUGUUUAUUAAAAACACAGCACUGUGCAAACACGAAAGUGGACGUAUACGGUGUGACGCCUGCCCGGUGCCGGAAGGUUAAUUGAUGGGGUCAGCGCAAGCGAAGCUCUUGAUCGAAGCCCCGGUAAACGGCGGCCGUAACUAUAACGGUCCUAAGGUAGCGAAAUUCCUUGUCGGGUAAGUUCCGACCUGCACGAAUGGCGUAAUGAUGGCCAGGCUGUCUCCACCCGAGACUCAGUGAAAUUGAACUCGCUGUGAAGAUGCAGUGUACCCGCGGCAAGACGGAAAGACCCCGUGAACCUUUACUAUAGCUUGACACUGAACAUUGAGCCUUGAUGUGUAGGAUAGGUGGGAGGCUUAGAAGUGUGGACGCCAGUCUGCAUGGAGCCGACCUUGAAAUACCACCCUUUAAUGUUUGAUGUUCUAACGU